AUUGAACGCUGGCGGCAGGCCUAACACAUGCAAGUCGAACGAGUGGCGGACGGGUGAGUAAUGUCUGGGAAACUGCCUGAUGGAGGGGGAUAAAUACUGGAAAAGGUAUCUAAUACCGCAUACCAUCGGAUGUGCCCAGAUGGGAUUGGCUAUUGGGUGGGGUAAAGGCUCACCUGGGCGACGAUCCCUAGCUGGUCCGAGAGGAUGACCAGCCACGCUGGAACUGAUACACGGUCCAGACUCCUACGGGAGGCAGCAGUGGGGAAUAUUGCACAAUGGGCGCAAGCCUGAUGCGGCCAUGCCGCGUGUAUGAAGAAGGCCUUCGGGUUGUAAAGUACUUUCAGCGGGGAGGCGUUACCCGCAGAAGAAGCACCGGCUAACUCCGUGCCAGCAGCCGCGGUAAUUC
rnacentral:rRNA from 1 species